rnacentral:rRNA from 1 species
AUUGAACGCUGGCGGCAGGCCUAACACAUGCAAGUCGAGCGGGGUUUUCGGACCUAGCGGCGGACGGGUGAGUAAUGCGUAGGAAGCUACCCGAUAGAGGGGGAUACCAGUUGGAAACGACUGUUAAUACCGCAUAAUGUCUACGGACCAAAGUGUGGGACCUUCGGGCCACAUGCUAUCGGAUGCGCCUACGUGGGAUUAGCUAGUUGGUGGGGUAAUGGUUCACCAAGGCGACGAUCCCUAGCUGGUUUGAGAGGAUGAUCAGCCACUCUGGAACUGAGACACGGUCCAGACUCCUACGGGAGGCAGCAGUGGGGAAUAUUGGACGAUGGGCGCAAGCCUGAUCCAGCCAUGCCGCGUGUGUGAAGAAGGCCUUCGGGUUGUAAAGCACUUUCAGUAGGGAGGAAGGGUGUUGUGUUAAUAGCACAGCAUUUUGACGUUACCUACAGAAGAAGCACCGGCUAACUCUGUGCCAGCCGCCGCGGUAAGAC